rnacentral:rRNA from 1 species
GACGAACGCUGGCGGCGUGCUUAACACAUGCAAGUCGAACGGAAAGGCCCCUUCGGGGGUACUCGAGUGGCGAACGGGUGAGUAACACGUGGGUGAUCUGCCCUGCACUUUGGGAUAAGC